rnacentral:rRNA from 1 species
GACAGAGGGUGGCAACGUUGCUCGGAAUUACUGGGCGUAAAGCGCGUGUAGGCGGUCACGCAAGUCAGGUGUGAAAAGCCCAGGGCUCAACCCUGGAAAGUGCACAUGAUACUUACGUGGCUGGAGUACUGAAGAGGAGAGCGGAAUUCCCGGUGUAAGAGGGUGAAAAUUCGUAGAUAUCGGGAGGAACACCAGUGGCGAAGGGCGGCUCUCUGGGCAGAUACUGACGCUGAGACGCGAAAGCGUGGGUAGCAAACAGGA